rnacentral:rRNA from 2 species
GGCUUGAGUCUUGUAGAGGGGGGUAGAAUUCCAGGUGUAGCGGUGAAAUGCGUAGAGAUCUGGAGGAAUACCGGUGGCGAAGGCGGCCCCCUGGACAAAGACUGACGCUCAGGUGCGAAAGCGUGGGGAGCAAACAGGAUUAGAUACCCUGGUAGUCCACGCCGUAAACGAUGUCUACUUGGAGGUUGUGCCCUUGAGGCGUGGCUUCCGGAGCUAACGCGUUAAGUAGACCGCCUGGGGAGUACGGCCGCAAGGUUAAAACUCAAAUGAAUUGACGGGGGCCCGCACAAGCGGUGGAGCAUGUGGUUUAAUUCGAUGCAACGCGAAGAACC